rnacentral:rRNA from 1 species
AGUGAACGCUGGCGGUAGGCCUAACACAUGCAAGUCGAACGGCAGCACAGUAAGAGCUUGCUCUUACGGGUGGCGAGUGACGGACGGGUGAGGAAUACAUCGGAAUCUACUUUUUCGUGGGGGAUAACGUAGGGAAACUUACGCUAAUACCGCAUAUGACCUACGGGUGAAUGCAGGGGAUCUUCGGACCUUGCGCGAUUGAAUGAGCCGCUGUCGGAUUAGCUAGUUGGCGGGGUAAAGGCCCACCAAGGCGACGAUCCGUAGCUGGUCUGAGAGGAUGAUCAGCCGCACUGGAACUGAGACACGGUCCAGACUCCUACGGGAGGCAGCAGUGGGGAAUAUUGGACAAUGGGCGCAAGCCUGAUCCAGCCAUACCGCGUGGGUGAAGAAGGCCCUCGGGUUGUAAGGCCCUUUUGUUGGGAACGAAAAGAAGCAGGGUAAUACCCCGCUGUUCUGACGGUACCAACAGAAUAAGCACCGGCUAACUUCGUG